CCUAUCAAGCUUCAGAGCUAAAAGGAGCAGCCCUUCCUUUCUGUACAAACAUUUUCCUGGAGAGUUUCUGAUGGUGGAAGAAAGCAAAGCAAGCUGUGCUAGGCGAGUGUCAGCUUGGAAGGAGGAGUCCUCCCCAGAGCAGCUCCCGCCCUGAUGAGGUUCAAGCUGCUCUGGCUCAGGGUACGUUUGUUUUCAACCUGUGCUAUGGAUGAGUGGAUUCAGAACUGGGGGAAAGCAGGCAGGAGGGGAUAGGAAACAAGUAUUAAGGAAAUCCCACUAAAAAUGACCCUGAGCCAGGAAUGCCUUUGCUUCUUAUUGAAAAGCAAAUGUUUCAGAAGAUGCUUCUUCUGGCCUCAUAUCAUACAUAUAACAAUGUUUUAUCCUCCCAAUUACUGAUGGGAUUCCCAGCUCCUUACAGAGGCUCAGAGAUCUUGCAAGGAAUGUGAUCCUUGAAGACAAAAAGAAGUAGAAGAGCAGCAAAUAUUGCAAGGUGUCAUGUGUGACAACCAAACAACAUCACCUCUGCCCUUGCUGAGUGUCCCAUGUCCCCUCAGAUGAGAGCUGGUAAAUGGCCACUGCCCAUCUUUCUGUUUUCAAAUACGCAGCAAACCACUUUCAGAAAUUACUGUCAUUAAAUGUGCUCUUGAUUCUGUUCCCUUUCAUUUCUUCUUGCUUUCCAUUCUCCAUUGCUUGUAUCUUGUCUGUAUUGUGCACUGCCAUAUUAAGCAGCAUGCAUUCCACGGAACCCCAUAUCCUCUGUUUUCCAGUUGCUGCAGCCUGCAAGAAGCAGCGCCCAUGGAGUGCUGCCAUGUUGCAUGUCGCGGAGCAGGACAGUGCUGGACCAGCUUGGGCAAGAGGAAACAGCAAUUUUUCCUACCUGCCAAUGCGUAAUUGCUUGGUAGAGUGCCUGUGAAUUCAGGAGAGACUCCCUGGUUGACCUUUCAGAAGUCUUGUUCUUUGGAGCACAACAUUCACCACGUAAACUUUGCUGAUGCCCUCUGCAUGACUCAUCCACCCUACCCCACACUGAGAAGGAGUCCUGUGCCACUUCUUGAGGAGUAUCACUUGACUUAUCUUGCCUCACUGGCAUGGGUAGGUAGCCUGUUCCAGCCAGGCAGGGCUCUCCCUUGCUUUUUAGCCAGGCCCAGCCCUUCCUCCAAGUCUUCCAUUCCAAAUGGCCAUGGUCCCUCAGCCCUGACAUGGUGAGAUGCCAUUUUACAUGUACAACUGACACUGAUGUGUGCGAGUGUAUCCCUUAAUACCUUGUGAGCAUUCCUUUGUAAGAUGAAGUUCCUACAAACUCAACAAAGGAGGCAGCUGAGUAGAAGGGAGAGGCCCAGUAAGUCUCUCCUUUCCCUUCAGGUAAAGUCAGCUAUACUAUAUUGAACCCUUGGACAACCUAAAUUAUUAGGUUCCACUGCUGAUGAAACAGUUUGGGAUUUGAUAUUGUUCCAUGUAUCAGGCAGACCGGCAGCAGGCCCAAAUUUCUCCUUGUACAUCCUCAUGGGACUUGCAUCUUUUCCAGGGUUCUCCCUUGUGCGGUUGAUACAGCACAGGGCAUUCUCUGCUUGUGCCAUCUUCCAGGGUGGUGGAAAUGCCUGAUUGCUGCCUCUUCGUGUCCCAUCUGACCUGCCAAAAUCCAAACUGAGCAAAACGGGAGUAUGGACUUGAACUUCACUGCUGUUCAGGAACACUCUGAAACUGGUGCAUGGAAACAUUUGAACUUGCCUCCCUCGCUGAAACUCCACUUAGAGCACACACCUUCCUCUUGUCUGCCUGCUGGCUCCAGCAAGACAGUCAC
rnacentral:lncRNA from 1 species